GAUGAACGCUAGCUACAGGCUUAACACAUGCAAGUCGAGGGGCAGCAUGAAUUUACUUCGGUAAAUUUGAUGGCGACCGGCGCACGGGUGCGUAACGCGUAUCCAACCUUCCCGUUAUCCGGGAUAGCCUUCCGAAAGGGAGAUUAAUACCGGAUGGUGUUCAAGUGGUGCAUGCCAUGGUGGACUAAAGGUAACGGUAGAGGAUGGGGAUGCGACUGAUUAGGUAGUAGGCGGGGUAACGGCCCACCUAGCCUUCGAUCAUUAGGGGUUCUGAGAGGAAGGUCCCCCACACUGGAACUGAGACACGGUCCAGACUCCUACGGGAGGCAGCAGUGAGGAAUAUUGGUCAAUGGGCGAGAGCCUGAACCAGCCAAGUAGCGUGAAGGAAGACUGCCCUAUGGGUUGUAAACCUCUUUUGUCGGGGAAUAAACCGCGCCACGUGUGGCGCCCUGCAUGUACCCGCAGAAUAAGGACCGGCUAAUUCCGUG
rnacentral:rRNA from 1 species